GGGACCUGCGUGUGUGAGCGUGUGUGUGUGUGUGUGUGUGUGUGUGUGUCUACGGUGGUCCACCCUUUGCAUGUAGGCAUCACUCCUA
rnacentral:miRNA from 1 species